CCUACGGGUGGCUGCAGUGAGGACUAUUGGUCAAUGGCCGGAAGGCUGAACCAGCCAUGCCGCGUGAAGGUCAGUGCCCUAUGGGCGUUAACCUUCUUUUGUGCGGGAGCAAUAAUGGUCACGUGUGGCACGACGAGAGUACCGUACGAAUAAGCAUCGGCUACCUCCGUGCCAGCAGCCGCGGUAAUACGGGGGGUGCGAGCGUUGUUCGGAGUGACUGGGCGUAACGAGCACGUAGGCGGUGUUGUAGGUCAUUAGUCAAAGCAUAGAGCUCAAAUUUAGUAAGGCUAGUGAGACUAUAAUACGAGAGUAGCAGAGAGGAUGGCAGAAUUCCUGGUGUAGCGGGGAAAUGCGUAGAUAUCAGGAGGAAUACCGUUAGCGAAGGCGGCAAUCUGGCUGGAAACUGACGCUGAGGCGCGAAAGCGUGGGUAGCAAACAGGAUUAGAUACCCUGGUAGUC
rnacentral:rRNA from 1 species